AUCUUGAAGACUUUACCCUCUAAGGAGGCUGAAAAUUCUUGAGGAGAUUCUUGAUAGCCUCCAUUGUCUGCUGGGAGCGUUCUCCCUUGGUGACAGUGUCUGGUGGUGUUACUCCUACAUGAACUUUGCAAAUGAACAACUCUUUUUAAGACUGACAUGUGAAAAUGCAAACAAAAGAUGAAUGACAGGAGUGCAAGAGUCAAAGAAUGCACCAGAGCUGGAUGCUUGAGAAGAGAAAGUGCUAAAGGUUGACUUCAAUGGGAAUGUUCCCUGACGAAGGUGAAGAUUUGACCCAGAAAGACACAGGAGGAAGAAAUAUCCACCUAUCCAUGAAUGCAAGCAUCUGGGAGUUGGGAAGAACACAGCAGGUCACCCCUUGCAAUACU
rnacentral:lncRNA from 1 species